CACCACGAGAGAACAGCACUAAGCUGUCUAGAACCAAACAUAGGAAAAGAAGAACAUAAUAUUGAUUUAACGCUUGGAAAUGGCCCAUUUUCUUGAGUGCUCAGAUUAUCUUGUGUGAAGAAAGGUCCUCUGAAGAGCGUACAAAGACCGAAGUUUCCUUAUGAAGCUGGUCCUGAUGGGAAUCAAAUCAUGCAUCUUCCACCUCCCUCCCAAAAAAAGUUGAAUAAAUUGUCAUUUUUAAGAGAAAAUUGCUAAUAUAUACAAAAUAGCUAUUAACUAUUUUAAAAAGGCCAAUUUUUAUUUGAAUUGCUUCUGUUCUUUAAAAUGCCAGGACGGGCUUGAUAUGCAUGUGUAGCUAUUAAAUACUUUAAAAAGGCCAAUUUUUAUUUGGAUUGCUUCUACUCUUUAAAAUGUCAGGACGGGCAUGAUAUGCAUGUGUUGUCUUCAGCAACGGAAUAUGAAUGUUGUUAUAUUUCCUUAAUUACUUUUUUUUUUGACUAAAAUACUCAGAUGGCAUAUGUUAACUCUGGGAAUAUUUUAUGUUACAAAAUUAAUGCACCCUUUUCAAUCGGACCCAAGAUUGUUCUGGUGUCAUAAUCAGGGGCGAAGCCACCGCUUAGACUAUGGUGGCAUGUGCACCCGUAGUUUUAUAAAUAUUAUACGUUUUGUAUGUAAAAUAUUAAAGAAAUCAGCUAGCUGAGUUGGUUUAGUAGAGUUAUGCACCCCUCUCAUGGCCUAAGAUCGAUUCCCCCGUAGGAUUUUAUUAACUUUUGCACCCAUAGCAAAUAAAAACUUUGUGAAAUAAUCAUGUCACAAAUUGGUUCUAUAAUGUGAUAAUUUUGGAUGAAAAGUCCACCAAUUCUUUUCGUUCAGGCGAGUGUUUGUCUAGUUGACGCGAUGCAAAACAGAAAAUUAUACUACACUAUGUGUAUUAGAAAAAUAAUAUAGAAUAAUUCAUUAAUACCAAUAAUAUAUCAACAAACAUAUUUGUCUUAACUGCAAAAAAGAAUAAAAAGAAAAAAGAGAGAGGAGAAAAAGAAAUGGGAAAAUGAGUAGAAAGAAAAGGAGAAGAAUUAAAAAGAAGGAGAAAAAAAAAUAAGAAAUGAAAAAAUAAACCUAUUAAUUUAUAGUAAUGAUGCAACAAUAAAACAUAACACAUGUUUAUUUAAUGUAAAAUUAUAUUUUUAUUUUACUUUUACCAAAUAGAAUAAAAAAAAAGUAUAUUUCAAAGCAAUGAUUAGUAAAACAUGCACAUUUUAAUUCAAUCGAUGAAUCGACUUCAAACCACUUGGAUUGGAAAGGUAACACAGUUCUAUCUCUUGUGUCUGAAAAUGAGCCCAAUCCUUUAGUGUAAAGUUUUUUUUUUCAAUUGCUAAACUUCUAAUGCAUAUGCACUAUUAUGUAUUUUUAAUUGUAUUUUUUUGCACCCAAAUUGGUUUUCUUUGUUUCAAAUUGAUCUAAAAUCUGAAAGGACCUGAUAAAGCAUUAAGAGACACUAAAAAUACUCUUUAAUUCGAUAGAAAAAAUCAAAACAAAAAUUAGAAACUAGUAAAAACACAGUUUAUCACAGUUGUAAUACCAUAAAAUAAUCAACAAAACUUGAUUGUAUUCAUUCCUAAAGUAAGGUAUUUAUAGAAUGAUGUUGAACCUAAUAUUAAUAGGAAUUAACUCAAAUGUUAUAUAAUAGACUACAACAUUGUAUAUUCCUUUAUCGUACUAAAAGACAGCACUCCGAAAGAGCGUUGCCUCUAACCUCCUCACGUAACUACUUGUUGUGCCACCACGAGAGAACAGCACUAAGCUGUCUAGAACCAAACAUAGGAAAAGAAGAACAUAAUAUUGAUUUAACGCUUGGAAAUGGCCCAUUUUCUUGAGUGCUCAGAUUAUCUUGUGUGAAGAAAGGUCCUCUGAAGAGCGUACAAAGACCGAAGUUUCCUUAUGAAGCUGGUCCUGAUGGGAAUCAAAUCAUGCAUCUUCCACCUCCCUCCCAAAAAAAGUUGAAUAAAUUGUCAUUUUUAAGAGAAAAUUGCUAAUAUAUACAAAAUAGCUAUUAACUAUUUUAAAAAGGCCAAUUUUUA
rnacentral:lncRNA from 1 species